rnacentral:rRNA from 1 species
GGUGUAAUGGGGUAAAGAUUGGGGAGGAACCUCCGGUGGGGGAAGGUGACUUUCUUGUUCGGAACCUACACUGGGGCGGGAACGGGGGGGGGAGCAAACCGGAAUAGGUACCCUGGUAAUCCACGCCCGUAAAAGAUGAGUACUAAGUGUUAGAGGGUUUUCCGUCCUUUAGUGAUGAAGUUAACGCAUUAAGCACUCCCCCCUGGGGAGUACGGCCGCAAGGGUGAAAAUCAAAAGAAUUGACGGGGGCCCGCACAAGCGGUGGAACAUGUGGUUUAAUUUGAAGCAACGGGAAGAACCUUACCAGGUCUUGACAUCCUUUGACAACCCUAGAGAUAGGGGUUUUCCUUUGGGAGCAGAGUGACAGGUGGUGCAUGGUUGUUGUCAGCUUGUGUUGUGAGAUGUUGGGUUAAGUUCCGCAAAGAGGGCAACCCUUGAUUUUAGUUGCCAUCAUUUAGUUGGGCACUUUAAGGUGACUGCCGGUGACAAACCGGAGGAAGGUGGGGAUGACGUCAAAUCAUCAUGCCCCUUAUGACCUGGGGUACACACGUGGUACAAUGGACGGUACAAAGAGGUGCAAGACCGCGAGGUGGAGGUAAUUUCAUAAAACCGUUUUCAGUUUGGAUUGUAGGGUGCAAAUUGCCUACAUGAAGCUGGAAUCGGUAGUAAUUGCGGAUCAGCAUGCCGCGGUGAAUACGUUCCCGGGCCUUGUACACACCGCCCGUCACACCACGAGAGUUUGUAACACCCGAAGUCGGUGGGGUAACCUUUUUGGAGCCAGCCGCCUUAGGUGGGACAGGUGUUGA